rnacentral:lncRNA from 1 species
GUAGGGCUACUAUACUCUUAUGAGUAUAGAGAACUUCAUACUCAUAAGUUGUUUUCAAUGAUGAAGCUUCCGAAUCGACGAUCCACUCCGUUAAAUAUGAUCUAGAGUAUCUGAAACUUCUAGAAAAUAAAUUUCGUAAUUUUUCGAAAUCAUAAUAAAGUUCAUCAAGCGAGUAUAAAACGAACAAUCAAAAUCGAACGACGUCUUAAAAAUGGAUGAUCGGAUCCUUCAAUUUAAGAUCG